rnacentral:pre_miRNA from 1 species
CUGAUACUCUCCGUGUUCACUGUUUGCCUGAAUGUAUCGUAAUACCGAAAUAUGAAUUGAAAAUCAUAAGGCACGCGGUGAAUGCCAAGAGUUGAUGC